UACUUGUGCCUCAUUUGGAUUACUUGAAUCGCCACAUGGUUUGGACAAAGGUGGUCCACAGAGCCCCGUAUUCCUUUCAUAUGAAGUGUUCUCAAAAGUCGCAAACUGACCUGAUUGUGGUAUCCUUCCAUACAGCUUGUUUUCACAAAAUUUCAGGGUGCUAAGAAAUGUUAAAUUUGUUAGCUCUUGUGGAAUCUCCCCAGAAAGCUCGUUCCAAGACAGGUCUAGUGAUUCCAACUGACGCAUCUCACCCAUUUUUGUUGGAAUCCUCCCUGUAAAUGCAUUAUGUGACAUGUUCAGUACAUGUAGUGAAACUAGCCUUCCAGUUGAUUCAGGAAUGUCACCAUGAAAUGAAUUAUUUGAGAAGUCAAUAACGGUCAAGGCAGUCCGGACUUUUUCAAAUGUCACGUCUUGGCCUUUAUAUGUGAUUGCAAUAAUAUCAUAGUAGUAUGGAGUUCUAUCGAAGUUAGGAUGACCUAAGAUAUUUCCUGUGUCAUUGGAGUUUGCCAUCAUAAAUGUCAACCUCUCAAACCAUCGUGGGUCCAAAUUGCCAGAGAAGUUGUUUGAGGAUAUAUCAAUAAUUUGUAACCUUGAGAAGUAAUCCCCAAAUUUGCUAUCUCUGGACGGAUAAGCAAGUGGGCCAUAGAACAGGUUGGAUCCCAAAACGAGUACACAGAGAUGGGAAAGCCUACCCAGCCAAGAUGGGAAAGUAUCCACAAUCUGAUUGUUUCCAAUGUCAAGAAUCUCCAAGUUAGCACAGUUGGAGAAAGAUCUAGGCAGCUGCCCUUGAAUCUUGUUGCCAUGCAAAUCUAUUGUCUGAAGAUUACAGUGCUCAGCAACAUUAUAAGGCAAUGUUCCCUCAAAGUGAUUCUCCCUCAAAUUUAAUACAUGCAAGUGGCUAUCUUCUAUCAGACAUGAUGGUAUUAUCCCACUGAACUUGUUAAAUGACAGGUCAAGGACUACAAGCUUGCGUGAAUCGCAAAUUGAAUUUGGUAUGUGCCCGCUUAUGUUAUUUCUGGACAAUGUGAGAUAAGCAGUUUGACUAAGAUAAGCAGUGAAGUUUGACAUAAAAGAAGAGAAUUUGUUGUUAGAAUAAUCCAAGACUUGAAAGAAACUGCUAAAUGCUGUCAACAGGUUCGGCGUCGGGAUCUGGCCUUCAAGUUCAUUGAAACUGAUAUCAAGAUAUUCCAAACGACUAGGGAGCAUAUUUGAACUGAGUGGCAUGUUUGUGAAUAUGUUGUUCGAAAGAUCCAAAAUUAUAAUGCUAUCAUCCCAUGUCUCCCAUAUCCAUUGGGGUAUCGCCCCUUGUAUUUUGUUUCUCGAAAGGUCCAAUGUUCGGAUAUGAUUAACUUGCAUCAAGAAUCUAGGAAUUCUUGUCAUGUUGCAAGAGGCAAGUUCUAAUCUGAAGAGAUUAGGGAGUAAGGGCUCUGUGGGUUUACUGUCUUCUUCGUCCAAGAUGGACAACCUGUUGUUUGAGAGAGCCAAGUAACCAAGCUUUCUUAACUUCCAAGGUGAACUCAAUUGUAUUAAUCCUGUUAAAUUGUUUGAGCUAAGAUCCAUGGCCACCAAACUUGUAAGUUGAAAGAAUGAUGAAGGAAUCUGUCCAGUAAUCUGAUUUUCAUGCAAAUAAACAGCUGACAUGUGUGAAUUUAGUGUAUCGAACUCUUGUAUCGGUCCAGAAAGUUGGUUUGAUGAAAGGUCCAACAGUAACAUUAUUGGAGAAGUGAAUAAAGAUGUGGGGAUCUCUCCUGCAGAUAGAGUUAAAAUGGUUACACUUUAUCAUCGUAUAGUAAAGACACAAACUCCAUAUUCUGUAGAAGAAAGUACGAAUGCCAAGCUUGAAGAGAUGUUACGUAGACUAAGGUUAAACAUAUGAAUGGAUCCUUGUUGUAAUCUAGUAUUAAGUACAUCAAACAUUGAAUGUUGGCCUUGGACUAAGAUUUACUUCAUGAACAUACAGUUUAUGUGAUAUAAAAUUGAUAUCAUUGUAUUCUUAUUAAAAAAUAAUUGCUUAUGGUUAUGAUUUGAAUCACAUAAAUCGCAUAUUAACAGAGGAAAUCUUAAUCAAAGCCUUGGUCAAAGGAGACCCAAUAUGCCUUCAAUUUUAGGAUGGAGGUAAUAUGAACGUUGAGUAUAUUAAUUUAAUCAAGGAACGACGCGCUUUAUCCAAUAUUGAGUUCAUCAUCCGAAACCAUGCCUAACCAAACCUAGAGCAGGUUAUCGGCUGGCAAGCUAUGUUUUGGAAACGUCGAGAGAAACUGAAUUGGUGCAAGCUGGGUGUUUGAGAAUUCACGCUUUUUCCACAUUGCAGUUAUUAUUCAUGAAAAAGAGAUGCAUCUGUUUUUUUUUUAUGAUUCUUUUUUCUCGAAGAGGCAUAAAAAUGUGAGUCAUUCUGUAGUAAUAAAUCAUGUUGAAAUAAGAAGAAGCACGUAAAAAUGACGCAAAGGUACAAACAGGCCAAAAAAAAAUAGGAAAAGAAGUUAAUAUAUCUGGCUCUAGAAAGGACUACAAGGCAUAGAAAGAAAAUCAAAAUCAAACUAAGAAUAAAGGGAGUUUGGACAUGAAUUGACUCUUACCUGUAAGGUCAUUAUGUCCAAGACCCACAUAAAUCAGUUGAGUCAAGUUGACAAUUGUACUUGGUAUUGUGCCAGAAAAUCCGCAGCCCCCUAAUUUUAACACCAUCAAUUUGCUGAGCUGUCCAAUAUCUCUUGUUAUAGGACCACCUAAUAAGCGAUUAGAAGUGAUAUCCAGGCUUCUCAGUUUCUUGAGAUUACCAAUUGAAGAUGGUAUUCUCCCAGAGAAGUGACAGCUGGAGAUUCUCAAGGAAAUCAAUUUGCUGAGGUUGCCUAUUGAUGGUGGUAUUUCUCCAGAGAAGCCACACCUAGUGAUUUCCAAACUUGUCAAGUUGGUGAGGUUUCCAAUCAAGGGGGGCAUUAUCUUGGAGGAAUAGUAAUCAGUGAGUUGCAAGCUUGUCAAGUUCUGAAGGUUACUAAUCCAUGAGAAAAAUGGUCCAAACUCCCCUGAAAAUUUCACAAAAGAAAGCAGCAAGCUUUGCAAGGAGUUGAGCUUGUUGAACAAUAAAUCAGUAGGCUCCAUGGUGGAAAUUGACCUUCCAUCAACAUCAAUACCUAGCCUCCUGAGUUUCAUGAGGUUGCGAAAAGAGCCCAGCUUGAUACUUGAGAAAUUAGUAUAAUACAGAUUCAAAGUCUCCAAAGAAGUCCCAUUUUUAAAUUCUGGUAAAUGUCCUGAGAGUUGGUCAUUGUGUGACACAUCAAUCACUCUUAUAUUCUUGAGGAGGAAGAUUUUCAGUGGAAACGAACCACUGAAAUGGUUAUACUUGAGUUGAAGAACACUAAGGUUAUGAAACUCUGAUAAAAAUUCCGGAAUCACACCAGAAAUAUUGGAAUUACUGUUAAGAUUGAUCACAGUAAGGGAUCGGAGACUUGACAGGGAGGAGUGGAUUGGACCCCAGAGGUUGCAGCCGCCCAUGCUAAGAACCUGAAGACGUGGGACAGAUUUACCUAGACCACUGCACCACUCUUCUCUGCUACUAGAUAUGUCCACUCCAUCAAGGUAGAGUUCCCUCAGAUUGGUAAGGUUUGCAAAUAAGGUUUCAAAGCUGGGCUCUCGUAGCUCCAGAUCGUUGCCGCCAUACAAGAUAUCAUUCAUAUUAUUGGUUUCAAAGGGAUCAAUGUCAUUCAGUGAAGAAAGAUCCAACGAUAUGAGGCUCGUUAGAUUGCCGAUGGUGCUAGGUACCUGACCAUAGAAGCUGGAUUGAGAGAGGUUGAGAUGAGUGAGGUUUGUCAGCCUCCCAAAGCCAACUGCCGGAAUGCGAGAUCUGCCAAAAUCAUUCAUGCUUAGGUCGAGGUAGCAUAAGGAGGCGAGGUUGAAGAGCGCGGCAUGGCAGCCGUAGCUGUAGAGGCCACAGCCACCGAGGUCGAGAACAGUGACAUGGCCACCGCCAGAUAUGCCGUCAUCACAGCCGACGCCCUCCCAGUGGCAGCAGUCGGUACCAGGUUGCCACGACGACAGCGUGGUGGUCGAGUAGUCGAAGAUGAAGGACUCCUUUAGUUGGAGAAGUGCUGCAGCCUGGUCUGGAUGGCACAAAGAUGAAGCUGUGGCAUUACCAGGGGCACGAGAAGCAGAUGCGGCUAACAAAUAGAGUUGUAUCAGUACGAAGAUGGCAGGCAGGUGAGUAGCACAAGCCAUAGGUUCGUUUGGACCUUUGAACUGCAACCACUAUCUCCACUUUGUCUCUUUAUAUACUUGAAUGCAGCACUCCUGCAUGGUCUUGACGAGAAAAUUAACAUUGCAUUGUCUCUUUCACUAAGCAAAGAGCUAGAUUGUGUUUUGUCUUUAUGUUCUGACACAAGUGUGUUUAUUUUAUCUAAAGACCAGAUGUGGUGCCAUGGUGGUAGAGGUGUAAAUUUAUUUAUCGCGAUGAUGGUGACUUUGAAGCCAAGCCACUGCCUCCAAAUGUCUUUAGUCUCCGGCUUCCCAGUACAAUAUUUUCUUUUUUUGACCGAAAGUACAAUAUUUUCUUAUUAGAGGUCAGUACGAUGUACGAUGUUGGCUGACGAUAAUGAUAAGAGGUCACUUUUGAAGAGUUCCUUGGGAAUAUUUUGGAACAAUCCUGUCGGCCACAAUAGCAGGCUGUUGGCUUUCAUAUAUAGAAAUAACUAUGGCAUCUCAUUGUUCUUUCAAUAUCAGGUUUGUUACAUAUAUAGAAUUGGAUAUGGCCUUUUCAGUUAGGUCCACACAAUUCCUCAAUAGUACAAUUAGACGUAUGAGAACAUAUACAGCAAUACAAUGAAUUAGUCAUAACCUGGUACCAAUCUGAAAACAGGAAUGCGGAUUGUGAUGACACAAUUCAGGACAGUGAUACAAAAUGAUCUAUCAUGUAUUAAAUUUUCAACUGCUUAAGGUGACAAAGCACCAGCCUCCAAAUCGUGUCAUUAUCCACAUCAAUGGGGGGCCGGCUUCUCACUUAUCCUGUUCUCUGUGGGUCAACAGCAUGGCUGCAUGGCCGGCUUCUCUUUUUUCCCUCUAGAAUACAGCACAGCCGGCUUCUCACUGAUCCGAGUCAUAAUUGGAAGGGUAGACUUAACUGUAUGCAUAUUGUCUCCCAAAAGGUUGUUGGUCCAUUCAUUUUUUUCCAGAGAGAAAAAUAGCUUAUAUAUAAUCUUAUAAUCUUCUGGACAAUGCCUUCUUUGCUGAGGUGAAAGCUAAUUUCGUUUCCAGGUUCCAACGCCAACGGUCUAGGCUCUAGGAGAGAUUUGUGUGAAUCCUAAAGAAAGCAUGGAUCAAUAACUGAACGUGCUUAAUUACAUGUCUGGGUAAUUUAAAUUUGUUUAUGCAGUUUCUAUCUUGUAUAAUUUUCAGGUUUAUUCAGUCAGAUACCAUGAAACUGUGUGGGUUCUGGGGUUUCGCAUUUCUCAAGCUCGUUACAGCUAUUCCAUGGAAUCAGUAGUAGGCAGUAGCAGAUGGUUGUAAAAGGUGGGACUAUUGAUCUGAAGCCUUCUCUCUAAAAUCACAUCUGCAGGGGAUGCUGCACGCAAUUAACUCAGAAGGACUUGCAGCCCUGGAAGUAAUUAUUUAGUUUUCAGCAAAUCAAGUGUAAUGUGCAGACCAGGUCAAUUGGGUAAAAAUGAUAUAUAUAUAUGCUUAUGCUUAUAGAUAAGAAUCUUUCCAACAGAACAACGGUAUAACGUUGUCUUAUGUUAUGUUUUUCUUAGUUUUGUUAAGGCAAGGCCUUUUUCAAUUUAUAAAACCAAGUAACACCAACAGAUCAGAAAGCGAUUCCUCACCUACUUUGGGGCUGCGAUAAGGCGAGGCAGAACAAGAUGACAGAAUCUGAAGCAGGUGUUGCGGGUUUCCUCUAGCUGCCCUUGUGGUUACAGGCAGGGGCCAGAGCAGUAUUUCCUCCUUUUGUUUUUUGAGUCUCCAGUGCAGUAGUUCCUAGAUGAACAAGAUGGAUCAUACUUUUUUUUUUUUACUUUCUUAGGGAACAAGAUGGCUCAUCGUGCUUUUGCUCUACCAGUUCUCAACUUCUUGAUUCAGCCUGUUAAAAGUAACUUCUGAAUGCCAGUUUUAUCACAAUGUUGUUUUCGUAAACACAGGAACAGUUGAGUGUUGCCAGCAGGAUCCAUUCAUGGCUUGCAAGCUUUUCUCCUGUUGCUGAUUGAUACUCAUCAGCGCUAUCUCUACUCUACUACUCCUUCAGUUCCUAAAUAUAUGUUGUAGUUUUGUCAUAAAAAGUUUGACCAAGUUCUUAAAAACAUCUACUGUCAUCUACAACUCCAAACUAGUUUUAUUGAAUUUUGCCAUGAUAUGUAUCUUCAUAGUAUACUUAUUUGAUAUUGUGAAUAUUAAAUAUUAGUAUACUUUUCUAUUAAUUUGGUGAAACUUUAAGAAAUUCGACUUAGAACAAAACUAGAACAUCUUAUAUUUAGAAACCAAGGUAACAGUAGCGACGUUUGAGCAAUUCACAAGCCCUGGUAACCAGCUCCUGCUGAUGAAUCCAUCAUGGCAGCAGAUACAUCAAUCUCCUCCCUUAUAUAUGUUCACCAAAUAAUCUUUUGGCAAUAAUGCAGUGUAAGGAACAAUUCUUCAGGUCAACAGAUUUGUACAAUUUGGGAAUCAUCUCAACACCCGAUAUCACAGCUACAGCUCUAGUGUAAAUUGGGACAACUAACCCCAUAUUUGUGUUCUAGAAUGAUAGGGCAAUUCUAGAAAUCUCGGAACACAUACACAGAAGCUGGCACAACAAUCAAGUGUUAAGAACAAUGAUUGCCAAAACUUCGGUAACUGGAUUUGCAAGCAAAUGAGGCACCAUCGCUAAGAAUCAAAUAGAAUCGUGUGUUUUCUUAAUUUCAUAUCCAGAUGGUUUUAAAUUGCCCCGUGCAGUUUCUAACUUGUAUACUUUUUGGGUAGUUUCAGUCACAUGCCAUGAACAUGCAUGGGUUCUGGGUUCUCGCAUUUCUCGAGGUCAUUGCAGCGAUUCCAUGGGAUUAGUAGUGCAGAGGGUUUUACAAAGAUGGGACUGGAUUUCUCUGAAACCUUCCCUUUGUGGUUGGACACCAUUAAUUCGGAAGGACUUGCAGCUCUUGAAGUAAUUCUAGUUUUUCAGCAAAUCAUGUGAUUCAUGUGUAUAAUGAAUGUACAGAUUAGGCCGCUUGGGUAAAACGUUAUGCCUAUAGAGAAGAAUCUUGACAACAACCUGUAAAUGAACAGGAUGGCUUAGUUUUGUUUUCCUUGGUUUUCUCUAGCUGCUCUUGUGGUUACAGGCAGAGAGGCCAGAGCAGUAUUUCCUCCUAUUGUUUUUUUGAAACUCCCGAGCCUGGAUGAACAAUGUGGAUCAUAACAACAUCUGAGAUCACAUUUUCUUCAGAUCAACAGAUUAGUAUCAUUUCCCUUUGAACAUUGGAGAGCUUGUUUUUUUUUAAAAAAAAGGCACAAUGGAGAGCUUCUUUUAGUUCAGAAACUAUGUGUAGAUACUGCUAGACAGUAUACUGUUGCCGUUCACGGGCUAAAAUGGGCCGGAAACUGGUUCCGUCCAGCCCACGAGCACACCAUCAGCCCCAUCGCCGACUGAGGUCUCUCUCGCCGGACCCGGAGCGGGCCAGACACCACGCAGCGCGCGGCGCCCCUCCUCGCCGUCGACGACGACCCUCGCGGCGGCGACGAUGUCUGGGGCCUUCGCUGAGGCGGAUCCCAGGAGGUAUACAUUAUACAGUAGAUCUCAUCUCGUCUGGUUGAUAUCAAUUUCUUCGUUGGAUGCAGCUUAGCUGCAAGUAACCCAAUUAAUUUGGUUUUGUGGUUUCAGACAUUUCCGCUUUGCAAUCACGUGAGUAUCAAUUGCUAAUUUAGUACUCCUAAUUGGAUCGAUCCUUUCCCCCUUUUAGUCAAACAAACCUGUUUUCCCCCUUUAACCGGGUGCAAUUGUUUCUCUUUUGACCUUUUAGUUAAGCACAAUGUCUGUCUGCUUGUUUUGUUUUGUUUUGUUUUGUUUUGUUUUUUGCAGGGUGAGUGUAAGUUUUCACCUUAGGAGUAUUACCAAGAGCUAUCGAGUACUCCCUCCGCUCUAGUUCAAAUCCGUGCCAAUCUUUAUGGGACGGAGGGAGUAACAUUUUUGGUAUGUGUGUUUGAACCAGUGUAAGCUACUGAUCGUGUGUCAUCAUGUAUAAUAUCAUUUUAUGCCAUGUGACAGUCGAUGGAAGAAUAUGUGUUGCUCAGCAAAAAAUUGUUUCAGGUACUGAAAGAACUCUUGCAGCUUGUACUAAAUGUGUAUUUGGUUCUAUUUUGUCUCUGCAUCAUAUAUGACAUGAUGACUAUACAAGGUGCUGAAGACUUGAGGAUAUGGCAUUUACUGAAGCAGUGGAUCUUGCAGCUCGCUUUCUCAAUAUCUAUGUACAUUCGGUUUUGUCCAGGUAAGACACCUCACUCUAUGACUCCUUUUUGGGAAACUAAGCAUCACCUCUCUCACUUAACUCCUAGUUUAGCUGCUGGGGAGCAUUAAGUGGUGUUUUCCAUUUGGGAUUGUGAAUGUAGCAUUGUGUUUGAUCUUUCUUACCAUAAGGGUUGUACAUAGAGUGCAUAAAACCAGUUAACACCAACAGACCAAAAAAGGAACAAUUUCUCAUCAAUUUCGGAGUAGCAAUCCAAACUGUGUUUUGCAGUGAUGGUUGGAACUCAAGCCCAAAAAACACAGAAACUUCUAGAUGCAAUCAAUUGAUCAAUAUUUCCAUCACAAUGGUAAUAAAAGAUUUUCAUUUAUGAAUUCGCAAGCAAAAAAGAAAACGAGGCACUGCAGCUAAACUAAAAUCAAGCUGUGUUUGUUUCUGUUGGAUAUUAUUAUCCAAGCCAAGUAGAAGAUAUUAUCUAAUUAUCAGUUAGCCUGAGACACCCAGGCAAAAUGGUCAUCUUUGUCUAUUACAAAAUUGGAGCUCUUUUUUUAUAUGAGGAUUAGGAAUGUGGAGAGGAAGAAGUCAUCCAAGAGCAUCGCAGUGACAAAUUACAGGCACCAGGGAAGGGGUGAUGAGGCGGCUUGGGGCGACAGAUGCCAGCGCGAUGGCCUGUGGGAGAGCCACAAGCGGGUGCGGUGCCACAAGAGGUCACAUGAACUAGAGCAUGCUGGCGGCUGAUCCAUGCAAUGGCAACAACGGGGACACAGCUGCGGCGGUAAGGGCAAGGCAGCAGGAUAGAUAGAUGGUGACAUGAUAGGUUGAUGAAACAAGGUGCAUUAUGGGUGAUGAAUUAAGCAAGUUGUCUUACAGUUUCUGUAUAAAUGUCACAAUGUGGAAACAGCAUUACAUAAACAUAAGAUAGAAAUAUGAGCAUAUAGGGUGACAUAUUACAACUUAUAGUUCUCUUUCAUAAUAGAAUAACUGUACUGACCGUCAGCCUGUGUCUUCAGAUCAUGUUCACACAAUCCGAAACCAUUUGCUGAUUUUACCCCAUUUCAUCAGAAGACCUGCUGUGAAUCCAACGCCAAAGCCCACCCCAACAAAGAGAAACAAGAUAAUAUCAACAUGAUCUUGGGAUAUGUUUACUUGUGCCUCAUUUGGAUUACUUGAAUCACCACAUGGUCUGGACAAAGGUGGUCCACAGAGCCCUGCAUUCCCUUCAUAUGAAGUGUUUUCAAAAGUCACAAACUGAUGUGAUUGUGGUAUUCUUCCAUACAGCUUGUUUUGGCACAAGUUCAGGGUGCCAAGAAAUGUUAAAUUUGUUAGCUCUUGUGGAAUCUCCCCAGAAAGCUGGUUCCAGGACAGGUCUAAUGAUUCCAACUGACUCAUCUCACCAAUCUGUGCUGGAAUCCUCCCCUUAAAUGCAUUAUGUGACAUGUUCAAUAUGUGCAGUGACACCAGCCUUCCAGUUGAUUCAGGAAUGUCACCAUCAAACAAAUUAUUUGAGAAAUCAAUUGCAGUUAAGGUAGUCAAGACUUUUUCAAAUGUAACAUAUUGCCCUUUGUAUGUGAUUGCAACUGUAUCUUGGUAGUAUGGACUUCCAACAAUUGUCGCAUGAUCUUGGAUAUCUCCUAUGUCAUCGAAUUUUGCCAUCAUAGAUGUAAACCUCGCAAACCAUCGUGGAUCCAAGUUGCCAGAGAAGUUGUUUGAGGAUAUAUCAAUGAUGUAUAGCUCUGAGAAGUAUU
rnacentral:lncRNA from 1 species